UGUGUGAUAUUAUAAGCAUGAGGCCGGGGCAGCAAUGAGGCGGAGGGAGGAACUUGAAAUUGUGGCCACCUGCAUUCAGGCAACCCACAUCCGGGGAGCUGGCUCUACUGGGUUUGCACUGUGCCUGAUAAGCAGCCAUGAAAGAACAACAAGCUGCAAGAUAGAACAUCUUUGAAAUGCAACCUCACUCCACCUCCCACCAAGGCCAGACUCCUCCUAAUAAAGAUUACCCUCAUCCCCUGAGAGGCACAACUUCUCUGACCUCUGUGGGGGUCAGUGAACUUCACCGGGCGCAAUAAACUUUUUGCCUGUGAGAAAUUUAGCCUGGUUUUCCUUUUCUUUACCGCGCCAAUCCUUUCAUCUUGGUGCUGAACCCAGGAUGGCUGCAUCCCCUGGCGCUGAGGCAGCUUUCCUGUCCCAGGGACCUCUCUUCUCCAUUGCAGAUGCCUCACAUCCACCACCGGCCUUGAUUCCUGGGGACUGUGCCCCAUCUGCGGUGUCCAGGGUCACUGGAAAAGCGACUGUCCCUCUGUGCCUGGCUGUGGUGGGCCAGUCCUUCCGGCCCCUGUGAUCCUGCCACCGGCGGUCUUGGGUUUGGCAGCUGAGGACUGAAGAGGCCUGGACUCAUGGACCCUGAUAACUUUCGGGGAGCCCAGGGUAACAGUCAAAGUAGCAGUUCAUCCAAGCCGCAUUCGAGAGAUGACUCGCACCACCUUCAACCAACUACACCCCUACUCAAGCCUCCCCACCAGUGAGCCAGGCCAUUGACCUUGCUUUUUGACCUCUCUUCCUCACAUUGCUCCACAUCAGCAGGAAGUAGCCAGAAAGAAUCCUUCACCCUUUAUCCUAUAACUAAAAGGUCAGAAUGUAAGGUCAUCGAUGAGGCAGAGGGAAGAACUAGAAACUGAGACCACCUGCAUCCCGGCAACCUGCAUCCUGGGAGUUGGCUCUACCUGGUUUGCACUGUGCCUGAUAAGCAGCCAUGAAAGAACAAGCGGCAAGAGAGAACAACUUUGUAAAGCAACCUUACUCCACCUCCCACCAAGGCCAGACUCCGUCCUAUAAAAGAUUACCCUGUGAGAAAUUUAGCCUGGCUCUCCUUUUCUUUACUGUACCAACCCUUUCAAUUGUUAUAAGGCAGGGAGAGGGGCAGCCCAGAGCCCGCAAACCUGCCUGCUUUAGAUAAGUUCUGCCAUCUGCCGCAUCAACACAGAACAUGUAAGAUUUUAAGGGAAGGAACUUUAAUACAAUUAGUAAACAAUACAGGAAAGGCGAAGAAUAUAGUUUCUAAAUUAAGCAUCCAAAGUUACCCAUCCCCUCUUGGGUAAAACUCUACCCAAAUGGAAUUGGCCCAGAGCAAGGCCCCAAAGCCUGCCACAAGUCUAAAGCUACUUCUAGUGGGGACGCACAGAAAAGGGUCAGAAAUAGCCAGACAAGUCUUCUAGGAAAAGAGCAAAAUCAAAAUCAAGAUAAAAGCUGCCAUUGUCACCUCCCCACGGGUGUCUCACCCACAUCUGUGUCCAGUCCACAACCAAGAAGCAAGCGCAGUUUCUUCAUGUGUCUCUUGGCUCCAUGUGCCUGCUCAAGUUCUCCUUCCGGCUCCAUCCUGCUUCCUUCCUUCUUCAGCUCUUGAGUUAAAUUUCUAGUGAGAGUCCAGGAACAAACAAUUUACAAAAUAAGCUCUUAAUCUGUCUCUUCUCCUGUACACCUCAUGGUUCACAAAAAUAAUUGAAGUCGGGCCUCCCUGGUGGCACAAGGGGGUAAGCACCGCACUAUGAAGCAAUCCGCACCCAAUGCAGCAUGAGUUUGAUCCCCGGCCGGCCAGAGAGGAACCCACAUGGCACAGCAGACCUCGCCCGCUGCUCCCCUCAGCAGUGUAUUUCAGUUGAUCUGCCUGCUCUGUUCCCCACUCUGUCUCUGGUGAAUCUUCUCACCUCCCCCCCCCCCCGCAUCUCUGGUCUGUACCCCAGCUCUUGUAUGCAUAAAUAAAGAAAUCUUUAAAAAAAAAGUUAAAGCCAACAAGUCACUCUUAAAAAUACAAAUUUGAGAUAUGUUUUAUCUAAAGGAAUUGGUAAAUACAGCUUGUAAAUUUAAUCAAUAAAAAUGUCUCAGUGUUUUCACAGACAGAAUAACUACUUCUUGGGCCUCCCUGGUGGUGCAAGGAUUAAAGACAGCUGUCGGGACUAUUGCCAGCCUCUGCAGUGCAAGUUGUAUCCACAGCUGGCCAGGGUACAGCCAACCUCUCCUGCCUACAUGCUGCUCUCCUCUGUUUCAGUAGAUCUUCUUGUUCUGCUCCCCACUCUGUCUCUGGUGAAUCCUCUCACCUGCCAUACUUCUGGCCUGUACCCCAGUUCUUGUAUACAUAAAUAAAUAAAUCUUUUUUAAAAAAUAAAAAUAACUACUACUUAAAACUAAUACACAUGGCCAAAGUUUUAAAAUGAGAAUCAAAAAGUGUGUCUCUCACUGUCU